GCAAACAUGCUGCAAAAAAUUACAGAACAUAUAAAAAUCAUCUUCAGGACCAUUAUCAGCAGUCCAUGAAAAGACUCAAAUGUCAGCCUCAAGCUAACACAGCUUUUUUUUUUCUUUUUUUUUUUUUGGGUGGGGGGAGUAUCAUUCCUUCCAAUAAUCAAAAUGGGGUUUCUUACCAAAUAAAAAAUAAGUGUUAUUUGAACCCUUCUACAUAAUAAGUAACACACAUUUACAAUGUUUAAAAACUGCUUUUAGUUUAGUAAUAAAGUUAAAGAAAUUGUUCUUUGAAAAUUUAAAAAAGUCAGUUACCCUUUUACAAGGCUUCAGAAUUCACAAAAUACUACUCCAAAUAUUUUUGUGGGACAACUUAAGGUGUGAAGAAACUACACCUGUGGUUAAGCUCCUGGUUCUUGCUUCUUUUGCAAAAUUUCUUCUAACAUGCUCCAUUUCCAAAUUACAGAGAAAAGAGAUUGAGGCCUAGAGUUACUGUUUUCUUCAUUUUGGCAAAAGCAUGUGCAUUUUUAGAGCAAUACUUCAGUGCACAACAGAGCCACCACAAGAAACCAAGGUACAGAAGGUGCUUUCCUUGGGCCUUUUCUUCAAAUCAUAUUCUGUCUGAAUGAGCUCAACAGCAGGACAGAGCACCAUAUAUCACAUACUUUGUACAUACCUUACAGAUUUGAGACUGAGCUAACACUAGCCAGACAAUCAACAUCUGGCCCAACUGUAUUGAGUCUGCAUGGCCAGGUUUUGGUAUUGGGAGGGCCGGAAGAUGCUAGAAGCUUUCCCGAUGUCCAGCAGAGCCAAUCCCUGGUGGCUCCAAGAUGGAUGUGCUGCUGGCCAAGGGUGGGCCAAUCAGAAGUGAUGGUAAUACCUUUGUGACAACAUAUUUCAGAAGAAUAAAAAAAACCCAAACAGUUAUCAUGCAGAAUGUAAUUGCAUCAAGAGAAGAGUGAAGUGAGAGUGAGAGGAACAACUCUGGAGACACCAACGUCAGUGCAGAAGGAAGGGGAAGAGGUGCUCCAGGCACUAGAGCCGAGCUUUCUCUGCAGUCCAUGGUGCAGACCAUGGUGAAGCAGCGGUGCCCCUGCGGCCCAGGGAGGACCACACAGAUGCAGAGAUCCACCUACAGCCCACGGAGGAGACCCACACCGGAGCAGGUGGAUGCCUGAGAGGAGGCUGUGACCCUGUGAGAGGCUCACACUGAACAGGCUCCUGGCAGGGACCUGCAGACCUGUGGAGAGGUUUCCUGGCAAGACUUGGGACCACAUGGCGGACCAAUGUUGGAGCAGGCUGUGCCUGAAGGACUGCACCCCAUGAGGGAAGAGUGCAGGAAGAGUGACCCAUGUUGCGGCAGUUUGUUGAGUUUGUUGCCCAUGAGAUAGAUUUAUGCUGGGGAAGUCCAUGGAGAAGCGUCUCCCAUGGGAGGGACCCCACACCAGAGCAGGGGAAGGACUCCUCUCCCCAAGCAGCA